AACGCGAAGAACCUUACCUGGGUUUGACAUGGAGCUGCACCACGGGUAAUGCCGUGUCCCCUUCGGGGGCGGUUCCACAGGUGCUGCAUGGCUGUCGUCAGCUCGUGCCGUGAGGUGUUGGGUUAAGUCCCCUAACGAGCGCAACCCCUGGGGUCCGUUGUACAUUUCGGGCCCGACUGCCGCGCGCAACGCGGAGGAAGGUGGGGAUGACGUCAAGUCAGCACGGCCCUUACGUCCAGGGCGACACACACGCUACAAUGGCCGGUACAAUGGGUUGCCAAGCCGCGAGGCGGAGCCAAUCCCCUAAAGCCGGUCUCAGUUCGGAUGGUAGGCUGCAACUCGCCUGCCUGAAGCCGGAGUUGCUAGUAACCGUGGGUCAGCACACCACGGUGAAUACGUUCCCGGGCCUUGUACACACCGAGUAUA
rnacentral:rRNA from 1 species